CUGGCUCUGCCUUGUACGUGGAUCGUAGUGUAUAUUUGAGCCAACACUAUUACAUAGGGAGAUUAACUCUGCCGGCAGCACAAACGCCCUCUUGAUUAGGGACUUGUAAAGCGGACAGGCAAUCACCCACCUGCGUGCGCGCGGGCUUCAAUAUGUAUUUCGGGAAGCGGCAAGGCGGAGCUCCU
rfam:Actinobacteria bacterium GWC2_53_9 gwc2_scaffold_21475, whole genome shotgun sequence.